UACAGAGGUCUCAAGCGUUGUUCGGAUUCAUUGGGCGUAAAGGGCGCGUAGGCGGCGGGGUAAGUCGGGUGUGAAAUCUCAGAGCUCAACUCUGAAACUGCACUCGAUACUGCUCUGCUUGAGGACUGGAGAGGAGACUGGAAUUCACGGUGUAGCAGUGAAAUGCGUAGAUAUCAGGAGGAACACCGGUGGUGAAAACGAGUCUCUGGUCCGCUUCUGACGCUCAGGUGCGAAAGCUAGGGGAGCAAACGGG
rnacentral:rRNA from 1 species